ensembl:lncRNA
ACUAGAAAGCUAUUACUCAGUAUUGCUAACAAAUACAGAAUUUGUAGGUGAAAUGCCACCAUAUGGAUCCAUCCAUGAAGAAAAUAGAAUCAGCACGUAUGGCUUGUAGCUCACUUUUCUUCUUUUUAAAUGUUAGGGAGCCUAACUUCUCCCUUUCUAAUGAGAUCACUUUACUUCCUUCUGACAUUGGCAAUCUGUUUGAGUUUCAUACUAUUCCUUGAAGAUCGUCUUUACAGCUGGAGAGAGUCAUCAGGAGCAUUUAAUACAGAUCAGACGUGGAGCUCUGUCCAAGAGACAAUAGCCCUAUUCAGAAUGGGUUCUAAAGUAAUUAAAAAAAUGAGAGUAACUUCAAAACACCAGAAUGAAUAGACUACGCUCUGUUAAAAACUGAACAAGUUGGGCAGAAACUUCCUUUUUCUUGUAAAAUGAUAAUUGUUUCCUAUAGAGGCCAUAUGGAGCUUGAUGGGAAUACCUCGGAAGACCCUAAUAAUUUUAGACAUGAGCUCUCCUUAACCGAUUAUUAAAUUGCUUAAUGGCUCUUUCCCCCUCACAGCCGAGAUACAGCGAAGCACACAUAGUAGAUGAUGCUAUUAUUGCUUUCCUUGUAGAUGCAAGUUUACCUAUCUGAGCAAUGUCAUCAAAACAUCUAGCAUUUCAAAGCUGGAUAUACUACUUCCACCUCUCCUGAUUACUCAAGAUGUUUUGUUUCUUAAAAUAUAUUGUGUGUAAUUUCUUAACUUAGUCUGGCAAUCCCCGGUUUGAGCAUCUGUUUUAAUUAUACUGAAGCAAGCUAUGGUUUUGCUGGGUUAAAAUUUCCAAGACUGGAUGCCAAUAGCAAUGUGUUUGGUUAAUGCUUCACUCUAGGCCUGCCAAAGCAGAAAUUCCCCAGGCUUUUAGUUUCUUAGGUUCUUGGUUUUUCUGGGAGGUGUCAAACUUUUAAACAAGAAAUGCAUGAUCCCAUAUUCGUUUUGACAGACUCUGGGGGGCUUUCUGACUCAUUUAUGUGUCUCUUCCUCUACAAAAACAGUGCAUGGAAGUUCCAUAGUGAUGGAAAAAACUUGCUCGUUUUAGCAGUGUGAAAGAGAGGGAUCAGAGUAAGUCCAGCAGAAAGAAGUUAUGGUGGUGAAUGCUAAGCCUUGCAGCUAGUGCUUACAGCUGUGUAGAGGAUGCUUUCUUAUAAUCUCAUAUUCUUGUCUUUAUAGUUCACUAUACCGAGUAACUUAUUUUGUUUGCUCAGGAGAUGUCUGUGUUUGGCGCCCUGUGGGACUGGAAUAUGUAAUUCUUUCUUUUUUAGGAAGAGUACACAGAAGAAAGAGAAUACCACAUAUUCUAGCUCUGUAAGAAGACAAUAUUUGACACUUGUGUUUGUUUGUUUAUUUUUAAACUUAGUUUGAGGUAUUUUGAUUUUGUUCCUUAUCAUAGAAUCAUAGAAUGGCCUGGAUUGAAAAGGACCACAAUGAUCAUCAAGUUUCAACCCCUCUGCCACGUGCAGGGUCACCAACCACUAUACCAGGCUGCCAAGAGAAGUGCCAACUGAAAAAAUGACCUCAUGUAUCUCAAACUGCACUGCCAGGAGGAGAGCAGCUGCAGAUUAACAGGGACUGAUGUCCUGGUGUCUGCAUCAUCUUUGGGACCCCAGAAUGGUAGCAGUCACAAGUGUCCAUAUGUGAUGUACAGAAUUCUUUGCAGCACUCAUUCAUUCCUCCAAGCCUGUGUCUGCUGGAAUUUCUCACAUGGAGAAAGUUGUUUAAACAAGAAAAUGUAAAUUAAUGUCUUUUGUAGGAAACUUGCUGAAUAAGGAUCUCCUACAGACCUAGUUCUGUAUGUAGGCAGAGAGUUUCUGGACUCAAGCCAUUCAUUUUUCUCCCUACAGUCAAAAAUAUUCAUUAUAGCCUACGUAGUUUUGCUUGAAGUCUACCAGCUUUGUUUGCAGUAAAGAACCAAGCCUUCUGGAGUGUGCUAUCUUUAUAAAGUUACCAGCUCCUCUUCAUGCACCCUGCAAAAAGUGUUUUGUUCCAGAUGUGAAGCCCUUGAAUUGAAUCACAGGAGCUUUCUUGUCAUGAGUGCCCUUUUCAAGGGCCUGAACAGCCUCAGCAUCUGCUUUUUCAUGUUGCUUGUUGUCCUGUGUUUCAGCAGUUCUGCGCUGUCACCAACACAUCACCGACUCUGACGCUUAGCAGAUGCUAAACCAUUAAGCAGAAUGGUUCCCUGUAAAGUAUGGCACAGCAACCCUCACACCCUCACAGUGAAUCCUGUUACUGCAAGGUUUUCUGUCAUUGUUCUUGCUGAAGUGGCUGCUAGAUUUAACAACAAGUAACUCUGACUAAUCUGGACUCUUUAUUUUGCAGAAGCGAAAUAGUUAGGAGAGGUAGGCACUCUUUUUCCUCAUCUGCUUCAUCUGCUUCUCAGUAUUGCUAAGAUGUAUGGGAAGACUGGUUCUUGUACUCUACAAAGAACAAAGGCAAUGACUUUUAACUGGCUCCUGCACUCAGUGCUAUGCUGGAGGAAAGGCUGCCUUUUGAUCUGUUUCCCUCAGAAUCCCUCUCUCAUAUCUUAAGGCAGAAAGAGUAAUUCAGCAGUUAAGCUGAUGAUUCAGAUCUCACAGACAAAUGAUGCACAUGAAACAGCAGCUUUCUAGCAAUUUUCCCUCUCCGAGUUGUGCUUUCCUAAAGGGGGUCAUCACAGAAACAGUAGGAUUCUGCAUGAACCCUUUCUAGUUAUGUUUUGUAUUAAAGCAGUAGAU